UUUCUGAACUCCAACGCUGCUCCAGAAAUCUUCAGGGUGCAAGAUUUAGUUCUACCUGAUGCUGCAAAAAAGGAUCGUUGUCUUUUUUCAUUUCUAGCCUUAGUUUGCUUUUGUUCUAGCAUGUAGGCUGUGUGGUGUUUCUUUUGGAGGUUUAUGUUUUGCUUGAGUUGACACUUGUUGGAUGUAUGCCCCUGUAUAACCGGUAAUCCCGGUGCCCCAAACUGUUUACGCUUACCGUUGCUUUAAUGAAAAAGCAGGGCAGUGUUGCCUUUGUCAAAAAAAAAAAAAAGCUUGUUUGUUUUCAGAAUGGGCUCAGGUUCUGUGAGCCAGACUUCGACCUUACCAAGUGAAAUCAACCGUUGAGUCUCGAAAGAACAAGGGCUCCAUGUAACUGAUGAUUCAAAGAUUACAAAAUGCACAAAUGACUUCCUCAGACAGGGGGCAAUAUGCCAAGUUCAUUGUCAACUAUGAUUAAUAGCAGCUUUUGUUAUUGAUGGAGGUGUAAAGAGGCUUUUAAGUGUUGUUGUUCCUACUUCUAAUGUUAGCUAUGUUCAACUUUAACAUUUCAUCUGAUUAAGCCUCACCAUUAUGCUGUCACUUAUAGCCUCUUGUGCUGUUGAGUUUAUUC